rnacentral:rRNA from 1 species
UACGUAGGGUGCAAGCGUUGUCCGGAAUUAUUGGGCGUAAAGAGCUCGUAGGCGGUUUGUCGCGUCUGCUGUGAAAAUCCAGGGCUUAACCCUGGACCUGCAGUGGGUACGGGCAGACUAGAGUGCGGUAGGGGAGAUCGGAAUUCCUGGUGUAGCGGUGAAAUGCGCAGAUAUCAGGAGGAACACCGGUGGCGAAGGCGGAUCUCUGGGCCGUAACUGACGCUGAGGAGCGAAACCAUGGGGAGCGAACAGG